CCCUAACCGUGCAAAGGUAGCAUAAUCAUUUGCCUUUUAAUUGGAGGCUUGUAUGAAUGGUUUGACGAGGGCUAAGCUGUCUCUUUUAAAAUAUUUAGAAAUUAACUUUUAGGUGAAGAGGCCUAAAUUUGGCUGAGGGACAAGAAGACCCUGUUGAGCUUUAGUUUUAUGCUAAAUGGAUUAUUAUGAUAUUUGUAAUAAGCGUGGACCUAGGUGUAAUGGGAUUUUAGUAUGAAUCUUUAGUUGGGGCGACUGAGGAACAGCUAGAGCUUCCUUUAGUUUAGAAGGGCAAGUAGUGUGCCGGAAAAUGGUGUAUUCUUGCAGGUUGUUUUGAUCCAGUAGAAUACUGAUUAAAGGAAAAAGUUACCACAGGGAUAACAGCGUAAUCUUUCUGGAGAGAUCUUAUCGAAAGAAGGGUUUGCGACCUCGAUGUUGGACUAA
rnacentral:rRNA from 1 species